GACGAACGCUGGCGGCGUGCUUAACACAUGCAAGUCGAACGGUGAAGGACGGAGCUUGCUCCGACCGGAUCAGUGGCGAACGGGUGAGUAACACGUGAGUAACCUGCCCCAGACUCUGGAAUAACCCCGGGAAACCGGAGCUAAUACCGGAUACGAGACGGAGAGGCAUCUCUACCGUCUGGAAAGUUUUUCGGUCUGGGAUGGACUCGCGGCCUAUCAGCUAGUUGGUGAGGUAAUGGCUCGCCAAGGCGACGACGGGUAGCCGGCCUGAGAGGGCGACCGGCCACACUGGGACUGAGACACGGCCCAGACUCCUACGGGAGGCAGCAGUGGGGAAUAUUGCACAAUGGGCGAAAGCCCGAUGCAGCGACGCCGCGUGAGGGAUGACGGCCUUCGGGUUGUAAACCUCUUUCAGCAGGGAAGAAGCGAAAGUGACGGUACCUGCAGAAGAAGCACCGGCUAACUACGUGCCAGCCGCCGCGGUAAUAC
rnacentral:rRNA from 1 species